rnacentral:rRNA from 1 species
GGGCUUGACAUCCCACGAAUCCCUUCGAAAGACGGGAGUGCCCGCAAGGGAGCGCGGAGACAGGUGGUGCAUGGCUGUCGUCAGCUCGUGUCGUGAGAUGUUGGGUUAAGUCCCGCAACGAGCGCAACCCUCACCUCUUGUUGCCACCAGGUCAUGCUGGGCACUCUAGAGGAACUGCCCCGGUCAACGGGGAGGAAGGCGGGGAUGACGUCAAGUCAUCAUGCCCCUUACGUCCUGGGCUACACACGUGCUACAAUGGCCGGUACAAAGGGAUGCCACACCGCGAGGUAGAGCUAAACCCAAAAAGCCGGUCUAAGUUCAGAUUGGAGUCUGCAACUCGACUCCAUGAAGGAGGAAUCGCUAGUAAUCGCGUAUCAGCACGACGCGGUGAAUACGUUCCCGGGCCUUGUACACACCGCCCGUCACACCACGAAAGCCCGUUGUACUCGAAGUCGCUGAG